UUGCUCUUCUUGGAUGAGUUGCGAACGGGUGAGUAACGCGUAGGUAACCUGCCUGGUAGCGGGGGAUAACUAUUGGAAACGAUAGCCAAUACCGCAUGACAUUGAUUAUCGCAUGAUAAUUAAUUGAAAGGUGCAAUUGCAUCACUACCAGAUGGACCUGCGUUGUAUUAGCUAGUUGGUGAGGUAACGGCUCACCAAGGCGACGAUACAUAGCCGACCUGAGGGGGUGAUCGGCCACACUGGGACUGAGACACGGCCCAGACUCCUACGGGAGGCAGCAGUAGGGAAUCUUCGGCAAUGGGGGGAACCCUGACCGAGCAACGCCGCGUGAGUGAAGAAGGUUUUCGGAUCGUAAAGCUCUGUUGUAAGAGAAGAACGGGUGUGAGAGUGGAAAGUUCACACUGUGACGGUAUCUUACCAGAAAGGGACGGCUAACUACGUGCCAGCAGCCGCGGUAAUACGUAGGUCCCGAGCGUUGUCCGGAUUUAUUGGGCGUAAAGCGAGCGCAGGCGGUUAGAUAAGUCUGAAGUUAAAGGCUGUGGCUUAACCAUAGUAUGCUUUGGAAACUGUUUAACUUGAGUGCAGAAGGGGAGAGUGGAAUUCCAUGUGUAGCGGUGAAAUGCGUAGAUAUAUGGAGGAACACCGGUGGCGAAAGCGGCUCUCUGGUCUGUAACUGACGCUGAGGCUCGAAAGCGUGGGGAGCAAACAGGAUUAGAUACCCUGGUAGUCCACACCGUAAACGAUGAGUGCUAGGUGUUAGGCCCUUUCCGGGGCUUAGUGCCGCAGCUAACGCAUUAAGCACUCCGCCUGAGGGAGUACGACCGCAAGUGA
rnacentral:rRNA from 1 species